rnacentral:miRNA from 1 species
UGACGGGUCGUGAUGGGCACU